UACAGAGGGGGCAAGCGUUGUUCGGAAUUACUGGGCGUAAAGGGCGCGUAGGCGGCCCGUCAAGUCCCGUGUGAAAGCCCCCGGCUCAACCGGGGAACGGCGCGGGAAACUAGCAGGCUUGAGUUCGGGAGAGGGAAGCGGAAUUCCGGGUGUAGCGGUGAAAUGCGCAGAUAUCCGGAGGAACACCGGUGGCGAAGGCGGCUUCCUGGACCGACACGUGACGCUGAGGCGCGAAAGACUAGGGGAGCAAACGGGG
rnacentral:rRNA from 1 species